CAUUUUAAAUAUUUAUUCUCUACUGCUCACCAUUCAUCUCCAAGUUUAACUAAUGUUAAUUUUCAUAAAUACUCAAAAAUAAAUUUGGUACGUAAAAUAGGAAACAUUCAGCUAGCGAAUUAUGAAGUUCUCAAUCUUUUUGUGUACCGUCGUCAUGACGACAUGUCGAGUGGAAUGUGCUUCAAUUAAGGAGCGCAGGAGGGGGACAUUAAAUAAAAUACCGCUCCAAAACGGUGAAGAUUGUCCGCUUUACUGUGAUUCCUGCUCAAAGGAAUAUUGCUACUAUUACGACGAAGAAGUUGUGCUCACCACGUGAGUCAACACUCUUAGAAAUAGUGUUACCUUAUUUUAUUGGAACGUCAACGUAACGUUAACUUGCUAAAGAGUAAAGUUUCUCUGGAUUUUGUAUAGUUGCUACAAAUCUUAAAUUCAGCCUGCAUUUACUGUUCAAAUAGUAACAUUAUUUAUAAGACUCCACUUACAUAAAUACAUAUAAUACUUUUACUAUCAGAAUUUCAAUCAGAAUCACUAAAAUUUACUAUUGCCCACUAAAUACCUGGUAAAUGAAAUCGGUGUAAAAUUAAAUAAAUUUUAUUCCUCCUGAGUCAUGACGUUCUUCUAGAGAUUUUAUUUACGAAGUUGUAAUUCGACAAGCUUAAAGUAUCUGUAAGGUACAUACAUACAUAUAUGAAAAUAUGGUUCAACAUUUUUGACAAACCUUCGAAAAUACAUAUCUAUGUAAAUAUGUUUAGCGGAAUAGUUUUCGUCAUGAUGAUCUUUUUCGUGAUAAUCUUCGCCUGGAACUAUAUCAGGAUUUGCUUCCAUUUAGUGGUAACUGCUGGUUCGUAUCUUUUCAUGAACGAGGCACACCGAUGACCAAGUGACCUGUUUAUAAGAUGUCCAAAGACCAGCCAUAUGCAGUCCGGGAGCCAGAGGAACAGUCAUCGUUAGGGGAACAAGCGAGUAAAUAACUCAAGUUGUUAGAUAUUUGUAAAUGAUGAGAAGGGAAUAAUUUCAAAUAAAACGUUUUGAUGGAAUA